UGAGCAAUCUGCCCUUCACUUCGGGAUAACUCCGGGAAACCGGUGCUAAUACCGAAUACGACCACUUCAGGCAUCUGAUGGUGGUGGAAAGUUCCGGCGGUGAAGGAUGAGCUCGCGGCCUAUCAGCUUGUUGGUGGGGUCAUGGCUCACCAAGGCGACGACGGGUAGCUGGUCUGAGAGGACGACCAGCCACACUGGAACUGAGAUACGGUCCAGACUCCUAGGGAG
rnacentral:rRNA from 1 species